UCCAUCUCCACCCCUGGAAAAGUGGCUCGGUGAGGGCGAGGACAGUAUUUGGUCACUGCUGAGCCCCUGGCCCUCUGCUGGCCCACCGCAGGUCCCAGAAAAUACUAAGUGAUGAAUGAAGCAAAGAUUUUGUGUCCCCUGUGGGGACAAGAGGCAGCGAGGGGAUGUGGUUUGAAGACCCAAAUGGUGGAAUUAAGGAAGCAACAGUAGGGGAACAUGCUUGAAACAGGUCAACCAGGGGUGGGGGGCACCUUGGAUGUGUGGUGUCUGGUCUGGCACAACGUCCUGGACAUUUUUGGCUUUUCAAGGUUCUUUCCUUGCUCCCUGAGGCAAGGACAAUGGGUGUUAGCUUCUGGCCCUCCGUCUCCCAGCACGAGCCCGGGCCUGUGUGUGGUGCUAAAAGGCUCUUGAUUAAGAACCAGGGUGCACAACCCAAAUUUGGGGACCUCUUCUCUCAUCGAGAACUUGCACCAAAUUUCAUUCCAAAGCAGGCCCCUCCCUGCCCAGGGCCCUCCCGGCUCCCUCGGAGGCUCUAGAUGAGAUACACCCUCUACCCUUUGGAAUUGCCUUCCUUCCUGGUCUUUAAAGUGAGGCUCUCAACUCACCUCUUCAAGGAGUGAACUCCAGACCUGCUUGCCCCGGGGCCCCUGUGCAUACCCUCCUGACCCCAUGACCCCGGCUCUCCCCCUCUCCACGCCCCCCCCCCCCAGCUUUGUGCCAGACUCGUUUGUUGGGUGUACUUGUGCGAAGAGGAGCCGAGGGCUGGGAGGCAGAGCUGGGUUUGAAUCUCAUGCCAACACUUGCAGCUGUGUGACCUUGAGCAGGUCUCCGAGAGUAGGGGUUUUGUCUAUCUCGUUCAUUUCUGAAUCCCAGGGACCUGGAAGAGGGCCCAGCAUACACUGACUGACUGAAUGGCGGGUAUGUACCUAGUAGGCGCUGUAUAAAUGGAAGCUAUUGUUAUUCCCGUGCAUCUCUGUCUUCUCUGCUUGCAUCUGGUUGGUUGGCCGAGCUCACCUUCAUGCCCGGGGCAGUCCCAGCUCGAAUCACCUGCCAAACUGCAGUAAUGGGGUCACUGUCCUGCCUGGGCUCCUGUGUGCCCUGCCCCAGGCAGGGGAGGCUGUGCACCCUGGAGGCCACCUCAGCAGCCCGCCCUUCCAGGCAGAGGCCAGUGGGUCUGCCUGCUCCACCUCUUCCAGGUAAACAGCCAACGCCAGACACGUGGAGCAUCCCCACAACCCUUGUCAGGGUCAAAGAAAUCCGGACAAGACUAGUAGGGCUACCUGCCAUGGCAGAGGCCCAGGCUCUCAUCCCAGCUCUGCCUCCAAUUUGCUGUGGGUUCUCAGCAUUAUUCACAAUAGCCAAGACGUGGAAGCAACCCAAGUGCCCAGCAACAGAUGAAUGGAUAAAGAAGAUGUGGUAUAUAUAUACAAUGGAAUACUACUCAGCCAUAAAAAAGACAAAAUCAUCCCAUUUGCAACAACAUGGAUGGACCUUGAGGGUAUUAUGCUAAGCAAAAUAAGCCAGACAGAGAAAGACAAAUACCAGAUGAUUUCACUCAUAUGUGGAAUAUAAACAAACACAUGGACAAAGAAAACCAUUCAGUGGUUACCAGGGAAAGGAGG
ensembl:lncRNA